AGUGAACGCUGGCGGCGUGCUUAACACAUGCAAGUCGAACGAGAACGGAUUAUAGCUUGCUAUAAUUGUCAGCUAAGUGGCGCACGGGUGAGUAAUGUAUAGAUAACCUGCCCUCUAGAAAGGAAUAACAGUUGGAAACGACUGCUAAUGCCCUAUAUGCCUUUAAUACAUAAGUAUGCAAGGGAAACGCUUUAGUGCUAGAGGAUGGGUCUGUAUGGUAUCAGCUUGUUGGUGAGGUAAUGGCUCACCAAGGCUAUGACGCCUAACUGGUUUGAGAGGAUGAACAGUCACACUGGAACUGAGACACGGUCCAGACUCCUACGGGAGGCAGCAGUGGGGAAUAUUGCACAAUGGACGAAGGUCUGAUGCAGCAACGCCGCGUGGAGGAUGACACAUUUCGGUGCGUAAACUCCUUUUAUAUAGGAAGAUAAUGACGGUACAAUAUGAAUAAGCACCGGCUAACUCCGUGCCAGCCGCCGCGGUAA
rnacentral:rRNA from 1 species